GACAGAGGGUGCGAACGUUGUUCGGAAUUACUGGGCGUAAAGCGCGUGUAGGCUGUUCGGCAAGUCGGGUGUGAAAGCCCUGGGCUCAACCUAGGAAGUGCACUCGAAACUCCCGAACUGGAGUCCCGGAGAGGAAGGUGGAAUUCUCGGUGUAGAGGUGAAAUUCGUAGAUAUCGAGAGGAACAUCGGUGGCGAAGGCGGCCUUCUGGACGGUGACUGACGCUGAGACGCGAAAGUGUGGGGAGCAAACAGG
rnacentral:rRNA from 1 species